GCUGCUCAGCCCCGGACCUUGUCAUACUGGUUGAAUGGAUGGACAAGUGACGUAAACAAGUAAGGAAGACAAGACAAGGAAGUUAAGAGUUCGAGAGAUGGAAUUUUGCUAUGUUGCCCAGGCUGGUCUCAAACUCCUGGCAUCAAGUGAUCCUCCUGCCUCAGCCUCCCCGGUAGCUAGGAUUACAGGCGUGGCCCACUGCACCUGUCUUCCGUCCACACCCGAACACACCAUCAUCAACCAGGCCAUUGAGGCCACAAGUUACACACCAUGACCUCAUCACACACUUGAUUUGUUGACUCGGAGCAAAUUACCAGCAAUGAAUUAUCAAUCCCUUUCCCAGAAUGGCAAGCCCUGGGGCUACGUGCAAACUGAGGCGGGAAAAUAAGAGGUGUCAAUAGAGCUGAGUUUGCUCUGGGCCCAGGGCCAUGUAGAUAAGCUGGUUAUCAUCAGCAGCUCCAGCUCCAAGUGGCACAGUGGGUGCCACUGCCACCACCAGGAACCCUGGGGUUUGCUUGUCCUCCUGGGUGGAACCCCCAGCACACACAUAGGGCCAGGAGGAAAGUAAACGCUCUUGUCUAAUCUCCCCCAGUGGGAUCACAGGGGCCCCCCCGAAGGUGGCUGCUCCUUUGGCAGGGUCUGGUUCUUCCAUUCCUUCUUGGAAGAUGGCCAUGGGGCAUCAGCACCUGACCAUGAUGUCUGGUGGCUAGAAUUCAACUUGAAAUCAGUUGAGACCCAAGUAAUGCCCGGGCUUUCCCGGUGGGUUUUCCUUGAUCCAUUCUUUGUCUCCAGACAGUGAAGCCCCCAGAAAGCAUGAGUUGUUCAUCCCUCAUCAGGGCCUUCAAAGUUCCAAGGUCUUUCUUGAGCAUCAGAGAGGCAACAAGUCCUUGAAUGCACCCUUGUCUGACCCUCCCAACUCAGCCAAGAGUCCCCUAAAGACGAAAUAGAACAUUGGGUUUCAAUUGUCGAAGUCUGACCAGAAGAUGUUCCUUACUCUAAAUACAGGCCAGUGCCACACCAACUUACAAGGGUUGGUGUGGUAUGAACAAGGAGGGGAAGUUGUGGGGCUGCCAAGCUGGGCACAAGUCAAGCACUAACCGGCACCACUGCCUCCUGCUUCCUGGUGCCACUCCAGCCGGGGCUGCCCCCACUGUGUCUGGCAGCUUCCAAUAUUGCCUUCCUGCUGCCAUAAGACGGCAGGUCUGGCAACAGAAGUGGAGCCGGACUUAAGGAGAAAGAGGAAAGAACUUCAGCUCUGGCACCUGCAGACCCCCGAAAGUGACCUACGGAAGCUGGCAGCAGGGACUGCAAUUGAGCAUUCUCUCACCUUUCCCUUCUCGGAGUUCCCCAAGCCUAUGCCCUGGUGGGAAGAGGAUUACCUGAGAGCCAAAAGCCCCGGGUCCCAGCACUUCACUAACCUACUUUGCAUCCCUUCUGUAAAUUAUACACCCCAGCUCUCAGUUUCCCCAUCUCCAGGAUAACAGACUGGACUCGUCCAAGAAUAGCAAUCAUUCCCGAUCCAGUGCCGACGCUGGUUGCUAGAACACGUGGCUGAAAGGAUUGUAUGUUGCUCAGGAUUCUGGGGCCACAUCCAGUGGUCGGGGGUGCUGUUGUUCGCUGGCAAUAUCUGCCUUGGACUCAGAAUGGAGCAUGGUAGACCAGGUGCCACGUCACUGACAUGUAGGAGCUAAAGGACCUUUGCACCCCUGCCCGAUGGAACAUUCCAACACUUGGAUUCUGUGGGAUGAGAUCUGACAGCCAUAAGGCAGAAGUUACCAACUGGGAAGCUCGUGGAUUCUUCAACGGAAACUCGAGUCAGGCUGAUGAAUUACCUUUACUAAAGGAAUGAGUAACAAUAAAAAAAAUUCUAGGUCCAAGACAUACCAAGAAAGGUUAGAUAUAUUAGACAAUAUUUUAAAAGGAGAGAUGUUUUGGGUGACCUGCUGUUUUGCUGUCCAGCUUGAGAUGAUGCCAACGGCCACAGAGUAAUAAAAGGGCCACUGAAUGUGGCCUCUUUCCCAUGGCUCACCAGCAGCAAGCAUCUCUACCACCUCCAUGUCUGGAGCAGGAAUUCCAGCAGGAAGGAUGUAGCCUCCAGCACCAUUUGACCAGAAGAUCCAAAUGCGACUGGACUGCUGGCCCUGAUAUGGCUCUUCAAAGUCUCAAGCUGAUGGUCAGACAACCUCGAAGGGUAGUGGUGGGAGACAGCAGGACGAGGGCCGGAGCCGUGGGCAGGGGAGGCUCAGGAGCAACUCGGCCAGUGUGGGGCCCACCGAAGUCGGCCUUGCUUGGGACCCUCGGGAUACCACUAAAGACAGAAACUACAAAAUGGAAAUGUUUUCAACUUAUUACAAAAAAGGAUCAAACAUAAAAGUAAAAAUGAA